GGAAAAAAGGGCAUUUACUUAUUAUAGAGAUGGUGCGAUUUGACUCUUUUUUUUAUUUUAGCCCUACCUAUAUCUCAUUCUUACGAGAAAGAGAGAGGGUUCGCAUAGAGAGAACAAAAUUAGUAAAGGAAACCCGAGCUUGGGGAAGGUUAGGUGAACUAACAAUUCCUUCUGUCGUGUAUCUUCGAUUGAUGUGGCCUCAGAUGCUUCAAUUGUAGAUUUGAGUAUUGAGCGAAAGGUUACACCUACAGGAUAGGUUCUGUAUUACAGGCCAAUC
rnacentral:lncRNA from 1 species